rnacentral:misc_RNA from 1 species
UUCGUCAGGUAUCGAAAGAUCACCGAAUGACUAACUCAUCGCUACGAGUCUCUUCUCCGUUGUGGGAAUAAUUAUCACGUAUGAGAUUAAUCAUCCUUGACUGGGUGAUUACUUGGACGCGGGCUAGAACGGACUGAAGAAAAAGUGUACCGCGUGAAUUUUUAAAUAACAAGAAGCCAACGAUCUUUCCUUUUCAAAUUCUCCCGGGUGCUGCUCCACUUGUCGAUUUUCAGAUUUGUGCAGUUUAUGUCGUGGUUAUUUAAAUCAAAUUUGUGAUACGUAGAGGAAGCCUCUGUUCGUUAGUUUGAAUGGAUUACGGAACAGCGAUAUAUAAUGCGAUUUCUCAUAGACUGCAGUGGCUAACCGUUACGUAAUGCUUGAUUUGUGGUUUUUUUAUACUAUGCCAGAGAUAGUUUAGUAAUAGAAUGUCUGCCUGUGCUUUUUUAGAUGUAGAGUAAAAUGGCGAUUGACAUUAAGUUCACAAAGUUCGACAACACACCAUGGGGCUUUCGUCUAGCGGGUGGCAGUGACUUCCCGCAACCAUUAACAGUCAUUAGAGUAACGGAAGGCAGCCUCGCGGAGUGCAUGGGACUUCGAGUAGGUGAUAUUGUUGUCAGAUUGAAUGAUCAGCCUAUCAGCAGUUACACUCACGGAAGGGCCCAGGAAGCUUUGGUAUUAGCGGGAAACAACUUUGUCUUGAGUGUUCUCAGGAGUGAAGACAGUGAGAAAGUCAUAGAAGCCAUUCAACAGGAAAACAUCGUUCCCUAUAAUAUUCCUCUUGAGGAACUAAAACCCGUCUAUUCUCCGGAAGUGCCAGAAGAAUCCGUACCUGAACCUUGCACGACCGAAUUUACGGAAUCUGAACGAAUGUCCGAAAGUCCGGAGAAAGUUGUGGAUCCUGACGAAGAAGCACUCAUGAGCAAGCCUAUGGACGCAAACAGCGAGGUUGUGACUAAUAAGAAUUUAACAGACGAAGAAAUAGCUCUGCUGAUCCUCGAGGAGGAAGAAUUGUUGCCGGAACAAGGGGUUCUCGGAGUAAAUUUCAAAAAGCUCAGACCCCGAGCCGCGCUGCUGAAAGAGUCUAAAGUCCUGGAGGAGCUCCAAAAAAUCGAGACGGCGGACCCUCCCCAGGUUCAGGAGCUGAAACGCUCGACAACUUUCCUUCAGAAACCUCAACGACCCCCGCCUCGGCCUAAGACAGAAGCGGAACAGCCGAAGGGCGAGCAAUAUCGCGUCGUGAUCCAGAAGCAGAAGAAGAAGAGCUUCAUCGAACGGCUCACAGAAAAAGGGCUUCUUGGCCCGAUUCCUUCGCCGGAGCCGCCGUCCCAGAAGACCACACCUGCGCCAACGCCAACGGCAACACCAGAACCCCCAGUCUGUAAUUCCGAAGAAGAAUUAUCGAGACCAGGAUCAAAGGCUGACGGGAUGACGGAAGUUAUCGAAGAAGUUACCGAGGUUGUUGAAUGGGGCGAUUGCGGCGAGCAAGAUUCUGUUCGAACCGAAGAAAUAACUUGCGAAACUCGCGAAUCAGAGAUAAGUAUUGAACAGAUAUCUGUGCCCAAAUUCGACAAAGAAAAGAUGAAAGAGCUGGUGACCACGGAGCUGAAUCUCGAAAAGCAAUUGGAAAGCGUUCAGAGCCAACUACUCGCUCUUAAGCAAUUGCCGAGCGAGAUAGAAACACAUUUAAGAAUCGUUUCGGAACAACUGUACAAAAUAAUGGAGCUCAGCGGAGUGAGUAAGGACAGCCUGAGUAGCAGUCGUCUGGUAUCAGAGCAAAAUUCCGAAAUGACCAAGGAAAUAACCGAGGGAGACUACUCGGAACAGGUGGAGGACGAACAAAGUUUGAUGAUCGACGAAGAGCAUCACUACGAAGAAAUCGUGGAUGACAUAAGGGAGAAUGGAGUCGAGGAAAAUAGAGACGAAGAUCAAAGUCACGGCGAUGAGAAGCCUAGUGCAGCACCGUGCGAAGCUGACGACGUUCCAAAGAUAGUCGAGCCUGCAGAAGAGAUAGAGGUGAAGGACGAUAGGGUAAAGAAAUUUGUCAUAUCCUACGAGACGCAGAUUAUAAGAUCGAGAGAUGCAAGUCCAGCGUUAUCCGACACAAAAACAGGGGAGAAAACACUCGAAAGACCUCUGGCCCCAGGCUAAGCAGGUCGAGCUAACCUACGGGAGGAGAUGGAGGUGUCCGAAUGACUUUUUCAAUGACGAAAUGAUCGCCGAGGUUUUAUCUUCCCAAGCCGAAGUUCUAAACGGCAGAGCGCUUGGGAUAAAUUUCAAAAAAUACGAGAAAACAAAUCUGCCGAACUACGACCACCUGAUGAAUUCCUCGGCUUAUAAAAUGAUCCACAAGAUGGAGGCAGAACCGCAAAAGGGGAUCCCGGUUCGACCAGCCAAGGUUAUCGCGGCG